CACGUAGGGCGCAAGCGUUGUCCGGAAUUAUUGGGCGUAAAGAGCUCGUAGGCGGUCUGUUGCGUCCGCUGUGAAAACUCGGGGCUCAACCCCGAGCCUGCUUCUGAUACGGGCAGACUGGAGGUAUGCAGGGGAGAACGGAAUUCCUGGUGUAGCGGUGAAAUGCGCAGAUAUCAGGAGGAACACCGGUGGCGAAGGCGGGUCUCUGGGCCGAAUACUG
rnacentral:rRNA from 1 species